AGAGUUUGAUCAUGGCUCAGAAUGAACGUUGGCGGCGUGGAUUAGGCAUGCAAGUCGAACGGGCCAUGGGUAGCAAUACUUGUGGUCAGUGGCGUAAGGGAGAGUAAUACGUAGGUAUUUACCCUGGGGUCUGGGAUAGCGGCGGGAAACUGCCGGUAAUACCAGAUGAUAUCUCCGGAUCAAAGGUGUGAUUCCGCCCUAGGAGAAGCCUGCGGUCUAUCAGCUAGUUGGUAAGGUAACGGCUUACCAAGGCAAAAACGGAUAUGGGGCGUGAGAGCGUGCCCCCACUCACUGGGACUGAGACACUGCCCAGACACCUACGGGUGGCUGCAGUCGAGAAUCUUCGGCAAUGGGCGCAAGCCUGACCGAGCGACGCCGCGUGCGGGAUGAAGGCCUUCGGGUUGUAAACCGCUGUCGAAGGGGAGGAAAUUGUAGUGGGUUCACCCAUUAUAUUGACCGAUCCUUGGAGGAAGGGCCGGCUAAUCUCGUG
rnacentral:rRNA from 1 species